rnacentral:rRNA from 1 species
UCACCAUUUAAUAGGGAACGUGAGCUGGGUUUAGACCGUCGUGAGACAGGUUAGUUUUACCCUACCGUUUCGGUAGAUCUUCAAAGUAUUUAGAUAGUAGCACAACUCAGUAGGAGAGGAACCGUUGUGUCACGCCACUGGAUUAUUCAAUUAUUUGAUCAAAUAGUGUUGAGAAUCUAACACGUGUUGAAAUAAUGGCUGAAAGCUCUCAAGCCAGAAUUUCGUCUAGAUGAAUACUUUGUCUUUUUCUUGUUACUUUAGUACAAUUGAAAAUUAUAUACGUUGUAUUUAUUAUCUCGUGUAUUACUCUAUC